CCAAACUGUUGCCUCGGCGGGGUCACGCCCCGGGUGCGUCGCAGCCCCGGAACCAGGCGCCCGCCGGAGGAACCAACCAAACUCUUUCUGUAGUCCCCUCGCGGACGUAUUUCUUACAGCUCUGAGCAAAAAUUCAAAAUGAAUCAAAACUUUCAACAACGGAUCUCUUGGUUCUGGCAUCGAUGAAGAACGCAGCGAAAUGCGAUAAGUAAUGUGAAUUGCAGAAUUCAGUGAAUCAUCGAAUCUUUGAACGCACAUUGCGCCCGCCAGUAUUCUGGCGGGCAUGCCUGUCCGAGCGUCAUUUCAACCCUCGAACCCCUCCGGGGGAUCGGCGUUGGGGAUCGGGACCCCUCACACGGGUGCCGGCCCCGAAAUACAGUGGCGGUCUCGCCGCAGCCUCUCCUGCGCAGUAGUUUGCACAACUCGCACCGGGAGCGCGGCGCGUCCCACGUCCGUAAAACACCCAA
rnacentral:rRNA from 1 species